rnacentral:tRNA from 1 species
GGCCCUUUAGCUCAGUGGAUUAGAGCAUGUGAUUCCAGCUUUGGGACCUCCACAAGGUCGUCCGUUCGAUCCGGGCAAGGGUCA